rnacentral:rRNA from 1 species
UACGUAGGGGGCAAGCGUUGUCCGGAUUUAUUGGGCGUAAAGAGCGUGUAGGCGGCCUGACAGGUCUGCUGUGAAAACUCGAGGCUCAACCUCGAGACGCCGAUGGAAACUGUCUGGCUAGAGUCCGGAAGAGGAGAAUGGAAUUCCCGGUGUAGCGGUGAAAUGCGCAGAUAUCGGGAAGAACACCCGUGGCGAAGGCGGUUCUCUGGGACGGUACUGACGCUGAGACGCGAAAGCGUGGGGAGCGAACAGG